GACGAACGCUGGCGGCGUGCCUAAUACAUGCAAGUAGAACGCUGAAGAGAUGAGCUUGCUCUUCUUUGGUGAGUUGCGAACGUGUGAGUAACGCGUAGGUAACCUGCCUGGUAGCGGGGGAUAACUAGUGGAAACGAUAUCUAAUACCGCAUAACCAUGGAUGACACAUUUCGUGUAUUUGAAAUGGGCAAUUGCUCGACUACAAGAUGGACUUGCGUUGUAUUAGCUAGUAGGUGGGGUAAUGGCGCACCUAGGCGACGAUACAUAGCCGACCUGAGAGGGUGAUCGGCCACACUGGGACUGAGACACGGCCCAGACUCCUACGGGAGGCAGCAGUAGGGAAUCUUCGGCAAUGGGGGCAAACCUGACCGAGAAACGCCGCGUGAGUGAAGAAGGUUGUCGGAUCGUAAAGCUCUGUUGUAAGUCAAGAACGGGUGUGAGAGUGGAAAGUUCACACUGUGACGGUAGCUUACAAGAAAGGGACGGCUAACUACGUG
rnacentral:rRNA from 1 species